rnacentral:rRNA from 1 species
GACGAACGCUGGCGGCGUGCCUAAUACAUGCAAGUUGAGCGCUGAAGGUUGGUACUUGUACCAACUGGAUGAGCAGCGAACGGGUGAGUAACGCGUGGGGAAUCUGCCUUUGAGCGGGGGACAACAUUUGGAAACGAAUGCUAAUACCGCAUAAAAACUUUAAACACAAGUUUUAAGUUUGAAAGAUGCAAUUGCAUCACUCAAAGAUGAUCCCGCGUUGUAUUAGCUAGUUGGUGAGGUAAAGGCUCACCAAGGCGAUGAUACAUAGCCGACCUGAGAGGGUGAUCGGCCACAUUGGGACGGGGACACGGCCCAAACUCCUACGGGAGGCAGCAGUAGGGAAUCUUCGGCAAUGGACGAAAGUCUGACCGAGCAACGCCGCGUGAGUGAAGAAGGUUGUCGGAUCGUAAAACUCUGUUGGUAGAGAAGAACGUUGGUGAGAGUGGAAAGCUCAUCAAGUGACGGUAACUACCCAGAAAGGGACGGCUAACUACGUG